CUAAUGCAGUAGGUGUCUAGUAGGGUCCAGUGGCACAACCUCCCCUAUCACCUAAGCUGGGUACUUGAGUUGUAUCCUUUGUGGGGGCUGAGUACACCCUCCUCUUGUAGUUGACCCUUGGUUGCUAUUGGCAAAUAAAUGAGUAAUUUAC